ACGCAGCUAACGCGUGAAGUAGACCGCCUGGGGAGUACGGUCGCAAGAUUAAAACUCAAAGGAAUUGACGGGGACCCGCACAAGCGGUGGAUGAUGUGGAUUAAUUCGAUGCAACGCGAAAAACCUUACCUACCCUUGACAUGGAUGGAAUCCGAAGAGAUUUGGGAGUGCUCGAAAGAGAACCAUCACACAGGUGCUGCAUGGCUGUCGUCAGCUCGUGUCGUGAGAUGUUGGGUUAAGUCCCGCAACGAGCGCAACCCUUGUCAUUAGUUGCUACGAAAGGGCACUCUAAUGAGACUGCCGGUGACAAACCGGAGGAAGGUGGGGAUGACGUCAAGUCCUCAUGGCCCUUAUGGGUAGGGCUUCACACGUCAUACAAUGGUACAUACAGAGGGCCGCCAACCCGCGAGGGGGAGCUAAUCCCAGAAAGUGUAUCGUAGUCCGGAUUGGAGUCUGCAACUCGACUCCAUGAGUUGGACGCUAUAUGGGAU
rnacentral:rRNA from 1 species